rnacentral:rRNA from 1 species
GAUGAACGCUAGCGGCAGGCUUAACACAUGCAAGUCGAGGGGUAGAAGGAGCUUGCUCCUUUGAGACCGGCGCACGGGUGCGUAACGCGUAUGCAAUCUACCUUUUGCAGAGGGAUAGCCCAGAGAAAUUUGGAUUAAUACCUCAUAGUAUGUGAGGAUGGCAUCAUUUUCACAUUAAAGUCACAACGGCAAAAGAUGAGCAUGCGUCCCAUUAGCUAGUUGGUAAGGUAACGGCUUACCAAGGCUACGAUGGGUAGGGUCCUGAGAGGGAGAUCCCCCACACUGGUACUGAGACACGGACCAGACUCCUACGGGAGGCAGCAGUGAGGAAUAUUGGACAAUGGGCGCAAGCCUGAUCCAGCCAUGCCGCGUGCAGGAUGACGGUCUAUGGAUUGUAAACUGCAUUUGUACAGGANAAACACUACUUCGUGAAGUAGCUUGACGGU